rnacentral:rRNA from 1 species
UACGUAGGGGGCUAGCGUUGUCCGGAAUCAUUGGGCGUAAAGAGCGUGUAGGCGGUUCGGUAAGUCCGCUGUGAAAGUCCAGGGCUCAACCCUGGAAUGCCGGUGGAUACUGUCGGGCUAGAGUUCGGAAGAGGCAAGUGGAAUUCCUGGUGUAGCGGUGGAAUGCGCAGAUAUCAGGAGGAACACCUAUAGCGAAGGCAGCUUGCUGGGACGACACUGACGCUAAGGCGCGAAAGCGUGGGGAGCGAACAGG